rnacentral:rRNA from 1 species
UACGGAGGGGGCUAGCGUUGUUCGGAAUUACUGGGCGUAAAGCGUACGUAGGCGGCUUUGUAAGUUAGAGGUGAAAGCCCGGGGCUCAACCCCGGAAUUGCCUUUAAGACUGCAUCGCUUGAACGUCGGAGAGGUGAGUGGAAUUCCGAGUGUAGAGGUGAAAUUCGUAGAUAUUCGCAAGAACACCAGUGGCGAAGGCGGCUCACUGGCCCGGUACUGACGCUGAGGUGCGAAAGCGUGGGGAGCAAACAGG